CCUUAAUUAUUCAUAUUGCACAACCAUGCCUCUUGUCCAAAGAAAUCCAGGAGGAAAAGAAAGGAACAAUAAUUGUUGGAUGCCAGUGGAUGAAUAUCCAUGCGUUGCUAAUUACUGUUUUAAUUCCGAAUGUGCAUAUUAACAUUGAAAACGAACUUAAUGAAAUCCUCCGUUGUGUCUUUGCCGCGAUGCCCAUCCUUGGCUCCGUGCCCGAUGCCAGCAGACCUUGCUGGAACCACGGAAACGUUCCUCCCGACCCAGAGAGUACCCCGAACUGUGACUCAAGCCAGUUGAAAUCCUGAUCUGAUCUACUUCUCCUCAGUCCUCUCAACGGGAUGAGACCGUCCAGAGACUAGAACAAGACGUGCCACUCUCUCACCAGGCCCGUGACUCCGAGGCUGCUCAGGAUUCCUUAUGCAUCAGCGACACCGCAGCGACAUCACACAUACUGGACUAAAGCCUCUGUCCAAGUGAACCAGGAGCUAGCUGGACAUCCUGAAGCAAGGAUCUCUCAGUCACUGGCUGACCUGCAGAGGGCUGAUUGGAUCUCAAGAGGAACAGUCGUAUGCAGGAAAAUCAGAAGCAGCUUCAGAGCCUGACUCCACAGGCCCAGGAGCUCCAGAGCCAGUGGGAGGAAGCCGGACUACCUGGAGAAAACCCACGCUACACAGAGAGAACAUGCAAACUCCAGGCAAAGGAAGCAAAAGGAAGGCUGGGAUGCGAACUGGGGAUCUUCUCGCUGCAAGGCGAAACCACCAAUCCACUGUGCAACCUCACGGAGGAGGCAUGUCAAAUCUAAAGUAAUUGGGUCAUCAGGCAACGAUGGGAGCAUUGAUGGAAAGUGAGCAGGAGUGAAGAGCUCAAAGUGAAGCUAAGAACCUGCCACUACAUCCAGAGGUGUCCAACAUGGCCGCUUAAAUGAGCAGGAGGAGGUGAAGAGGCAGAAUGAAGAACAGAUUUCUGAGCUACAGGUGGAAACGAAUGCUACUGGAGGAUGGAAGGCAAGAGCUGCAAAGAAAGUGCAGGAGUUUGCCUUGAAGCUGGAGGUGCUAAUCCUGCAAAUGGAGGUCAAGAAUCCCCAGAAUGGUCAGAAACUGGAGGAAAGCAGGCUCUGCCCCAGCAGUGUGCCCAAGGCGUCCAGGAGUGGAGUCUGUGUCUAGCAGAGGUGUGCCACAGCUGAGUGGAGGUGUCCACAUUCACCCAGCUCAAAGACAGCUGUCUGGGAAGUAGACUGACAUUUGCAAAAAAAAAAAGAACUGUUUACUAAAUUUACUUUCUAUCGCUAGUUAUUACAAAAUUGUUUGAGGCUACGUGUGUUUCCUGACUGAGUGCUUGCAUCAGUUUGUAGAGAUGUUGCACCUGUGGGAGGCAGAGGUCCUGUCAGAGGCCGAUGUAGUCAGCAGGAGAUAACAGCUCUGGAGCAGAGGGUUACCACAAUGGAGCAAGACCUAGAGGCUCCUCACAGCCGAACCACUGAAAGAGAGCAUGCACCAGCUGGGACCGUCCCCUCCAAAUGAAUGAAGCAAUUAACUGGCACACAUACGCUCUGACAUACUACACUCAUUAUGUCCUCUCACUUCCUCCACAGCAUCAAGCAGAGAUGCAUCUGUUGAAGGCACAGGAGUCUAGAGAGGUACAGUGGAGGCACAAGAGCAAGCAGCUGGAGGCUGAUGGUAGUACUCCAUCGACACAACACACAGUGACCCAGCAUGGCUUCCUCUCAGCCCGGCUGCUGAGGCAGACGCAGGAGUGAACCUAGGCCACGACCACCGCAAAGACUCAGGUGUGUGGGCCAGUCGCUCGAUAGACAGAUCAUUUCAGGUGGAAGACCUCACGUGAAAUCAGAUGUUUAACUGGCCGGCUGAAGUGGGACAGGAGCAUCUUAACCAGCACCUUGCCAAAGGUCUCGUGUUCGCUCAGCCACCGGGGCCGCUAGAAAUGACGGGAAAGAGGAGGAGAAAGAGAUGGACAAUGAUAAUCAACAAAAGGCCCAGCCAGAUUCAAAAUGGGAACUUUGCAGGCCUGUUUGAGUGAGGACAUUCUGGCAGAUCUGAGUGUCCAACUCCCAGUGAGGCCAACACUAGUGGAUGCUUUGCUGGCAGCGUGGGAGGUGUGUCAUUUUAAUAAAGGCCCGCAUGAAUCCACCUGCUGGAGGGAGUGAAGGCUCAGCAAAUUGAGGGCAGGAGAUUCAAAGCUGAGCUUGAUGGGGAGACUGAAGAAAAGAAGACAUAAUAAGUGAGUUAACUACAUGAGGAGCUCUGAUUAGCAGAGGAGAAGAGUCACUGCCAGCCUCCCCCAGCAGCCACAAAUGUCGCAGAGUUGGAGGAGUUUCUGCUGAAGAUCUUCUCCUUCAAGGGACCUUGUCCUCGAGUGGAGAGGAAACACCAGUGCCUCCUCUCAGAUUUGGACUUAACUUUGAUUGAGCAGGUCUCACCUUUCUAAUCCAAGGGACAUUCAACUUGUAAUGACAAGCACCUAAAACACAGGAAAGGAGGAUUUGUUUAACCUCACCAAGAUUUCAUAAAGGAUUUGAGAGUCUUGAUUAAGUGUCCCAAGAGGAAAAAAAGGAAAAAAAAUGUCCCAAAGUACAGAGUUUAGUUUGCAGUCUCGUUUGAGUUUUUACCUGAUGUUCUGUUGUUGUUUCGAUUUCAAAUGAGCAGAUGAAGCUGUUAUUAUAAUUACAGUAUGUAAUUUAAAAAUAUAUAUAUAAAAUAUUAUCAUGAAAAAAUGUUUGAUUAGAUUGACUUAUAUAAAUUUUAUCGAUUUAGGUGAAAUGUUCAUUUUAUACCCAACUAUUUUUUAUCAUAACCUCUUGAUUCACAUCACUGUUUUAGUUUCAGUCACUUUUUAGUGCAAGUUAGUUGAACAAAUGACUAACUAAAAGGAAUAUGUAUCUAUAUUUCAUUAUUAGGUGUCAGUGCAUUGAUUUCUACAAAAGAAAAGUAGAGCACUUGUGUUUUAAGUCACAUAUAGCAACUACUCCUACAGCAAUAGACCCACAGGCCAAUGUAGCCAAAAUCUUAAUGAAUAUGACCAGAUAGACAAGAAAUUGCAGCCAAAUAAAAGAAUAAUAAAGGCAUCUAAACCCUAACAAGUCUGCCUUUGUUCUUCCACUCCACCCACCACAAGCAGGCAUUGUUGCAGCUUUGAGGGCAGCUCUGAGAGUUCCAUGCCCAUCGGCCUUCAAUCACAUGGGAUGUCUGAGUUUGACAGUAUAAAGUCUUUCUUCUAGAACAAAAUAAGACCCCUAAGCAAUAGUGGAUGAGCUGUUAGUAACCGUACAGUCCACAGGGAGGUAGACCAAGCAUAGUAGUACAGUAUACACAAAGUGCUGGUUAGGGAUAAGACAAUGGACCAGUAAAAGCAUUACUGGAUGCUGCAACACUCUUAAAUUUCUUACUGUUUGCCUCAACCUUUCUGUUUUCUUUGGUCCAUCUGGCUUCACAAACCAAAGUCAAUGUAAACGGAACUUAAUCUGGUUAAAAUCCAUUUAAUUGCUGACUUCAAUAAACAGUAUUAAAAGUAAUAAA